rnacentral:rRNA from 1 species
AGAGUUUGAUCCUGGCUCAGAUUGAACGCUGGCGGCAGGCCUAACACAUGCAAGUCGAGCGGUAACAGAUCUAGCUUGCUAGAUGCUGACGAGCGGCGGACGGGUGAGUAAUGCAUAGGAAUCUGCCCGAUAGUGGGGGAUAACCUGGGGAAACCCAGGCUAAUACCGCAUACGUCCUACGGGAGAAAGGGGGCUCCGGCUCCCGCUAUCGGAUGAGCCUAUGUCGGAUUAGCUGGUUGGUGAGGUAAAGGCUCACCAAGGCGACGAUCCGUAGCUGGUCUGAGAGGAUGAUCAGCCACAUCGGGACUGAGACACGGCCCGAACUCCUACGGGAGGCAGCAGUGGGGAAUAUUGGACAAUGGGGGCAACCCUGAUCCAGCCAUGCCGCGUGUGUGAAGAAGGCCCUCGGGUUGUAAAGCACUUUCAGCGAGGAGGAAGGUUCGUCACCUAAUACGUGACGGAAUUGACGUUACUCGCAGAAUAAGCACCGGCUAACUCUGUGCCAGCAGCCGCGGUAAUA